CCUCUCCAGAUUCCUUACCCUCAGAUCUAAAUAUUGGCCUGAGUGGCUUAAAAAGGAAGAAAAGUAAAACUAAAGUGGACUUGAAGUCUUUAGUGACAUAGUUCAUUUCAAAUAUAA
rnacentral:snoRNA from 1 species